CGUGGAAACUAAGCAUAUCAAUAAGCGGAGGAAAAGAAACUAACAAGGAUUCCCCUAGUAACUGCGAGUGAAGCGGGAAAAGCUCAAAUUUAAAAUCUGGUGGCCUUUGGCCAUCCGAGUUGUAAUUUAGAGAAGCGUCUUCCGCGCUGGACCGUGCACAAGUCUCCUGGAACGGAGCGUCAUAGAGGGUGAGAAUCCCGUCUUUGGCACGGACAUGCCAGGGCUUUUGUGAUGCGCUCUCGAAGAGUCGAGUUGUUUGGGAAUGCAGCUCAAAAUGGGUGGUGAACUCCAUCUAAAGCUAAAUAUUGGCGAGAGACCGAUAGCGAACAAGUACCGUGAGGGAAAGAUGAAAAGCACUUUGGAAAGAGAGUGAAACAGUACGUGAAAUUGUUGAAAGGGAAACGCUUGAAGUCAGUCGCGUUGACCGAGACUCAGCCUUGCCUUGGCUUGGUGUACUUCUCGGCUGACGGGUCAGCAUCAAUUUUGCCCCUUGGAUAAUGGCGAGGGAAAUGUGACACCUUUACGGUGUGUUAUAGUCUCUUGUCGCAUGCAAGGGUUGGGAUUGAGGAACUCAGCACGCGCCUUUGGGUGUCGGGGUUUUUGCCCACGAUACGUGCUUAGGAUGUUGGCGUAAUGGCUUUAAACGACCCGUCUUGAAACACGGACCAAGGAGUCUAACAUGCCUGCGAGUGUUCGGGUGGAAAACCCGUGCGCGCAAUGAAAGUGAAAGUUGGGACCUCUGUCGUGGAGGGCACCGACGCCCGGACCAGACCUUUUGUGACGGCUCUGCGGUAAAGCAUGUAUGUUAGGACCCGAAAGAUGGUGAACUAUGCCUGAAUAGGGUGAAGCCAGAGGAAACUCUGGUGGAGGCUCGUAGCGAUUCUGACGUGCAAAUCGAUCGUCAAAUUUGGGUAUAGGGGCGAAAGACUAAUCGAACCAUCUAGUAGCUGGUUCCUGCCGAUUCUCCCUC
rnacentral:rRNA from 1 species